rnacentral:rRNA from 1 species
UAGGGAAUCUUCCGCAAUGGACGAAAGUCUGACGGAGCAACGCCGCGUGAGCGAUGAAGGCCUUCGGGUCGUAAAGCUCUGUUGUCAGGGAAGAACAAGUACCGGAGUAACUGCCGGUACCUUGACGGUACCUGACCAGAAAGCCACGGCUAACUACGUGCCAGCAGCCGCGGUAAUACGUAGGUGGCAAGCGUUGUCCGGAAUUAUUGGGCGUAAAGCGCGCGCAGGCGGUUCCUUAAGUCUGAUGUGAAAGCCCCCGGCUCAACCGGGGAGGGUCAUUGGAAACUGGGGAACUUGAGUGCAGAAGAGGAGAGCGGAAUUCCACGUGUAGCGGUGAAAUGCGUAGAGAUGUGGAGGAACACCAGUGGCGAAGGCGGCUCUCUGGUCUGUAACUGACGCUGAGGCGCGAAAGCGUGGGGAGCGAACAGGAUUAGAUACCCUGGUAGUCCACGCCGUAAACGAUGAGUGCUAAGGUGUUAGAGGGUUUCCGCCCUUUAGUGCUGCAG